ACUGACUAGGCCGGCGUUGGGUGGAAUAGGCAGCGGCUGGAAGGCCCGCACGCCGCCCUCGGCCCGCCGCGGCGCGCAGACCCCGGCGUGCAGACAUGCGCGCUAGGGCCGGUGUCACCGGGCUGCCGCCUGAGCCGCGCUGCGCGUGCGCAGGGCAGCGUGGCCGUCACCGCCGCCGGUGGAAGUUUCCGAGCAGCCGGGCGGGGGCAGCGGACGCCACCGCAGGCGCUUCCCCCGCCGGCCGGCCCUCCCUCCUGACGUAAGGGCGGGCCCCGGUCGCAGAUCCCGCCCCAGGUCUCUCAUCCGAGGGUCCGUGCAGCAGGUCACGCUGCGCUCUCUGGGGUCCGCGCGUCGGCCCACGUGCUCCCUGCACCUCGCGGGGUGAGCGGCCAGCGUGCCGUGCCGGGUGGCUGGCUCCGCCGCUCCGGAGCCGGGAAGGACACGCGGCAGAGUCCUGCUCCCUAGCGGGUCUGCUUACAGGCGUUUGGUUUGCUUUUUAAAAUGAUUUUCUAUGCGAAAAGUGAAGUGAAAACUUCCAAGUUAAUUCCCUGGGCAAAAUGGGCAGUGCUAGCCGAGGAACGGCUGGUGGGCGGCGCGUCCGGCCCCCGGCUUCGGUUUUUCCAGCUGCACCGAGCGGGCAGGAGUCAGUGGGAAACCGCCCGCCAUCCACAGCCUGCCGUUUGCCAUCCCGGUGUCCCGAGCGCGAUGGAAGCCGGGUUGACAGUGGCACUGUUUGGAAUACAGCGCCAACCACACAUCCUGUGAGGUCCAAAGCAAACGCCAGUGUCGUUGAUCAUCGCGGUGCCCCGCGAGCCUGGGCGACGUGAGGCCCCGCGGCUGCCGCCCUGUCUUCAGGCGGAGUCCCCGCAAAUGCACUCCCGGGCCAGGGCCCUGAAGCUGCCUUAGCCCAGUGGCGCCCGGGCUCCAAGCCUUUUAAGUAGAACGGGACCUGGCCUUCGUACAGGCGUGUUGUAAAUGCUACCCCCUCGUCUCCAGCACAGAUGAGUAGACAUUACUAAGCACUUGACCCUUCAAACAUCGCCCCAACAGGAAAGGUCCGUGUGUUGCAUACAAAGGCUUUGGGGCAAGUGGUGGUGGUUAGUAAUGAAAAUGAAUGUUUCAGACGUUUUCAAAUACCUUCAUAUUGUACACGUGGAAAUCAUGACCAAGGAUUAGAACGUGCAUUCAGUAAACUACAGAAAAUCACACACAAGUCAAACGGCCGUUAUUCUGGAGCUGUUUGCUUCCAAUGGCUCAGUCCAAAAUCCUUGGUCAUGCCUGGCUCCUCUCUCUGUCCACAAUGAACACAUCCUCUUGGCUCCACUGCCCGAAACAACCAGAACCCAACUGCUACCCCUCCUCCUCCCUCCACCCCUCUUUCCCCGCCACCCGUCCAUUUUAAAGCAGUGCCUUCUAGCUGGUUUCCCACAUUCUGCACAGCUGCUCGUGUGAUCCUUUUUAAAAAACAAAAAAGAUGUUACUAUUUUAAAAAUCAUCUCAUGCCACUCUUAGAAUACUAUGCAGCCGUAAAAAGGAAUGAGAUCAUGACCUUUGUGGGGACAUGAAUGGAGGUGGAAGCCACUAUCCUCAGCAAACUAACACAGGAACAGAAAACCAAACACCGCAUGUUCUCAGUAAUAAGGGGGAGCUGAGCAAUGAGAAUGCAUCGACACAGGGAGGGGAACAACACACACCGGGACCUGUUGGGGGUUAGGGGAAGGGAGAGCAUCAGGAUAAAUAGCUAAUGCAUGCAGGGCUUAAUGCCUAGGUGAUGGGUUCACAAGUGCAGCAAACCACCAUGGCACACAUUUACCUAUGUAACAAACCUGCACGUCUUGCACGUGUAUCCCAGAAUUUAAAGUUGACAUUUUAAAAAAUUCAGUCCAUGCCACUCCUCUGCUCAAAACCCUCCAGUGGCUUUCUCAUUCAGCAAAAUGGAACAACCUUGCUAUGACCUGCAAGUCCCUUAUCCCCUGGUCCUUCCCCUCUUCCCCUGCCCUCACCUCCCAGCGCUUUCCCUAGCCCAAACAAUACCAGCCAGAAGCACCCCUGGCACACUCCUGCCUCAGGGCCUUUGCACUUGCUGUUCCAUCUGCCUGACAUGCGUUCCCUCCUCCCCAUCUUAGUGAGGACGUCCAAGUGGCUCUUUAGUCUAAACUGCAAACAUAACCCUCAGCAUCCCGUUUCCCUUCCCCAUUUGCUUUUUCUCCCUUAGUUUCCUGGAGCUGAGUAACAAAAUGUCACAAACUGGGUGGCUUAAAACAACAAACGCAUGCUCUCACAGUCCUAGAGGCUGAACGUCCAAAAUCAAGUUGUCAGCAAGGCCGUGUAUCCUCUGAAGGCUGUAAGGGAGUGUGCCCCAUGCUCUCCUCUCAGCUUCUGGUGUUGCUGGCAAACCGUGGCAUUCCUUGGCUUGUUGGUGCAUCACCCCACUCUCUGACACGUCAUCGCAUGACGUUUCCCUGUGUCCUUGAUUUGUGGAUGCAGCGCUCCACUCUCUGUCAUCAUCAUCGCAUGGCAUUUUCCCUGUGUCCAUGUCUCUUCUCAGAAAGACACCAGUGGCAUUGGAUUAGGGCACCCUAGUGUCUUCCUCCUAACCUGAUUACAUCUGCAAAGAGUUUCCAAAUAAGGUCAUAUUCGCAGGCACCCAGGGUUGGGACUUGAUCAUAUCUUUUUGGGGGACACUAUACCACGUCAUAUGUAUUUUAUCUCAUUUAUCAUUUGUGUCCCCCGCCCCAUUAGAAUGCAUGCUCCGUGAAGAGAGGAUAGGAAUGGCUUGUCCCUGCUGUGUAUCAGCUCAAGGAUUGUCUGACACAUCAGUCCUUGGUGAACAUUGGCAGAAUGACUGGCAGCUGAUUGAUUGGCCCAGCGGGAAUGGACACGGGCAGUUGCCCUUGUCCAGCUUCCAGGAUCUGUUACACAGGUUGUCAUUGUUUAGGCCUAAAGCAACAACCAGAAGCCUUCCUGGGUGUUUACAUUACAGCACACCAGACUGCAGGCACCGCCACCCCAGACUCUGCCUGCAGCUAAAGUCACCAAGUUUGCCGUGCCCCAUAACUGAGGUCAUUGGCAGCCCAGCACCAAGCCUCACUGGCAUCAAGGGCAGCGGGUUAGUAAGCAUGGCUCCACACGGGUAAGCAGUUCUAGGAAAUGGGAAGAAACCCAGACCAUCCAUCUCAGGGUAAGUUUGCUGGAUUUUCUCUCUCUUUUAAGAGUCUUUCAACAGGGCAUACAGCCCAUUCUCAAAUUUAGAUUUCUGUUUUUGUUAAGAACAGGGACUGUGGAACGAAUUUGCCUGACUUUGCCAUCAUUCUGCCAUUUCCUAGCUAUGUGGCCUCAGGCAAACUGAUUAAACUUACUGGCCUCAGAAUGGGGAAAAUUUCUGUAACUCAUGCCUGGAAUUACGUGAAGAUGAAAAGCAGGCAUGUCCAUGAGAUGCUUACAAGAGGGACCAGCGCCGUGUACCUAUUCUGUGCAUCCUACCCGUCCACUGUUCCUUCUCCGUGUUUCUUGAAGAAGCUGGAGUUUUCUUUCAGUCUUCUGCUUCUCCUGUUGCUUCCUCUAACUGAAGGAAGAAUCAGUCCAUGGCUUCUGCUCCAUGCUUUCUGCUCUUGGUUCAGGCUCCAACUUUCCCAUUAAUGGAAGAGAAUGGCUCUCCUGCUCCCAGCUGUAAUGAACUAAUUAAUUUUUCUAUCUCUCUAAUCAUUCUCUAUUCCCUGCCAAACCCUCUGGGUGUCUGUUUUGUUCUAUUGUUCAAGCCUGGACUUUGAGGGUAGGCUGGGGGCAUUGCUAGUCCCCACAAUUGCUAAUCCAGGCACUUGAGUCAUUAUCUUCUAUACAUCACACUUAACAACCAGAGGGAAGUGCAACCUCGUGGGCCUCGGAAAGGAAACCACCCACAGACUUGUGCGCCUUCUUCGCAGGCCAGGCUCUCCUUCCCCCAUGGUAAGAAGGUGAAGACUUGGAGAUUGGUGAGUCAGGCAAUCAAGGUCAAAUUGACAUACUCUAGAAGAUUACAUGCCGUGUGGAACAGUACUGGGCAGUGGACCCACUGGGACAGGGGCUCAGGAGGCUAUGGCAGUCCCGCAGGAGAUUCUGGAGUUAGCUCUUGCUCAUUUAUGCUGCAGUAACAGACAUCCCCAGGACCUCAGCGUUUCAUAGGAACGACAUGGCACACAUUGGUGGUGGCUGUCCUCCCAGGCAGUACCCCACAUCUUGUCUUCCGUGUUUGGGCACCCAGGCUGGAGUAGCAACCCAUCUCAGUCAAUGGCAAAGGAAGGAAUGGGAGGUUCUAAUACCAUCUCACUCAUCCUUGGACCAAGGACACCUCUCCCAUGCACUAUGCCCCAUGCCUCUCUCUCACUAUGGCCCAGUCCACGCAUGGAGGUCCCAGUUGGUGCUCAGGUUCGUAGCGCCUACACGAAUAAAUGCAGUGCUGUUUACCGCCUCAGUCUGGCUAGCUUUAAACACAGCCACUAAUAAGGUGAUUGCUUUUUAUCAUAAAAAUGCUGAAAGAGCAUUGGAUAUUGUGACUUCAGGAUGUCCAGAAUCAAGAGGAAAAAAAACAUUUCAACACUGUCAAAAAUUUUGCCCUGUCUUUGUGGCCAGCUCCCUCUUGGUUCUUCAACACACAUCUCCUUGUGCGUUGAAUAUUCAGUUAUUCAAUGACUCUACCUGUGGUUCUUCCCGUGUGGUGGGUGCAGGGUGCAUGGCCAGCGAUGGAUGGCAGGAACCCAGACCCGUGGCGCUUCCUGUCACGGGCCCAGAAUCAGGACUGACGGUCAGACUCCCUCACGGCCCCAGCGUUACUCCUGUACCUGAAAGCAGGCACAAAGGCAAGAUUUUCAGGGCAAGUGUUCAAUAUUCUGUGUAAAAAAACGUCAGUGUUACUGACAGAGUGAGCAGCGGGUAGAAUGUGAGUCACCUCGGAGGGAGGCUGCCUUUGUGUUCUUCUCAAUUGUUCUGUAAUAAAAGAGUUUCUAGAGACUGGAAACAGCGGAAAAGAUGCACCAUUGACACAAAUUGUCAUGUGCAUUGCACAAACAGUUUCUCAUUCAGGGGCAUUUUCCACAGCCUCUACCUUACCGUCAGUGGCCCAGCCCCCGCCUGGACACCUCCAUUGGGUUCCUUUUGUCAUGAUUCCACUCUCUACUCCUCUAGGUUCUAGUGUUGUCACCACCUUGCUGGCACUCUUACCCCGGCCACCCCAAACCCCUUCAGACCCUCGGCUGCAGCCUGCUUCCACGCUGCAGAGCCUGAGCACUGCCCUCUCUGUCUGGGAAAGCUGUCCGUGAGCCGCUCAAGCCCCCCGCCCCCAACUUUCCGUCAACCCUGGAAUCUGGCUCAGCUGUCCUCGAGGAGGCCCUCUCUUGUGUCUCUGGUCCUUUGACACAUGGUCAGUUCAUUGCAGGUUUACUCACUUAUGUCCCUGUGUUAGCUGCCUGUACCUGGGGACAGUGACGAUGCCAACUCUGUCCACUCUUGUAUGGAAAAGCUCAGCAAAGGGCCUGGCAGACAGCUGUGUCCAAUGCAUAGUUGUUGACUGAAUAAAAACAAAGCCGCUGACCCUCCCUAAUCCUAGACCCUCAUCUUCAUACCAGCCUGAUUUUUAGCCACUCACCCACUUGCUGAAGCCUGGAAGCUACCAGAGCUGGUUUGCCCAUAGCCCCUGUGCAAGCCUCGGGCUACCUUGUCUCUGACCUGUGCCUCAGGGUGCAGUGUUUCCUGGACACUCCCCUAACAUCACCUUUGCCUCUCCCGGCGCAGUGCCAGCCUUCCAGACCCAGAUCCAACCAAGACCUCUGUAAAGCUUUCCUGGCCGCAUCAACCUUAAAGUAAUGAACGUAGGAGAGAGAAAUUUGUAACAAUUGUGAAAAUUACUGUGGUGAUUGUGAAAAUGAAUAAUAGGGCUUUUCUUAUUGCCUUGAAUUACGUUAGCUCUUCCACUUUUUAAUUUUCACCCUUUUGCUCAGCAUCCCCGGUGGACUAGAGGCUUUGUCCCAGCAGAAGCGUUGCCACCCCCCCGGAAUCUGAGCCCUUCACUGGACCCAGCUCCGUGGCCUGCAGACAGGAAGCCCCCAGUGAACACAUGCUGGCGUGGUGUGAAUUCACCCCCCUGCCUCUCCACUCCUUUGUGCUUCCCAGGAGGGGCAAUGCAACAGGCAUUGCAACAGGCAUCCCCAGCAUCACAGGGCAGAAAUGCUCCACAAAAGUCUCAAACUAAACUGAGAGAGACAUUAUUCACUUCCAAGUGCUUCAAACAGCAAAAGAGUAAGGCGGAGGACAAGAAAAGUAUUGACGACUGGUAAAUAUUUAAGGAGUAACCGAGUCAAUGCCAAGCAUGCUGAGCUCUGAGCCAAACCACAUUCAGGAAGAGAUCAACGUAGAG
rnacentral:lncRNA from 1 species